rnacentral:tRNA from 1 species
UCGAAAUUGGUAGACGCUGCGGACUUAAAAUCCGUUGGCUAUUUAGACCGUGAGGGUUCAAGUCCCUCUACCCCCA